GUAUGUCAGGCUUGUCAUGCAAUAUUUUGCUGCAAGAGAGAGGUUCAUUCUUAUAUUUGCCUUAAAAGACUGUACUUGUUAAACAUGCUUUCACAAUUAAUGUUUGUAAUGCUUCUCAAAGCUGCCAUAAGUGGCCUAGUCAAUGUCUGAUUUUCAUGUAAAUCUCUGACAUAGGUCAUGCAAGAGAUAAGGAAAAUGGUCAAUGUUAAACGUUGUAAGCGUUCAGCUUCUGGAACCCUUCCUAUCUGUCCCUUACAUUCAGUCUCUGACCAGCACAAAUUUCCUUCGUUAAAGAUUGUGGUCAUAGUUGGAACUGCAUUUGGUUCCUCCGCCUAUGGUUAAUUCUCCUCAGGUUUCAAGCGUGUACACCAAUUUUACUCUCAUGACAACAGACGGUCAUCCAUUAACAAUGACCUAAUUUGUACUGAAAUGUGUUCAAAGGAAAAUGAUGUUCACAGCAAACACAUACAUCAGAACUCUUUCCAAAUGCAAAAUACUUACCAACAAAGUGCUGAAUCAUUUUGAUGUUCAUCAUAUUCAAAGGGCCUGUGCCCGACCAUCAUUACAAAUGCAGUGACUCCAACACUCCACCAGUCCACUUCCUGCAACAAUUAAAAUUACAGGUCAAGUCCUUUUUUCAUACAGAGAGUGAGCAUGUAACGCAUCCCAAUUCAAUGUGAACCGAGAGGCAGGGGAAUAUGAACUAAUUUCAUUUGAGAAGUUUAUAUGAGCAAGUUUUUAAUUCGUGCUGCUUUAGUUUCCAUCUUUGCACAAGAUGUGCUACACUCACAGUUGUUAAAAUGGCAUCUUAAGCAGAGGAAUCCCUCGCCGCCCAUCUUGGAAGAAGAGUGUCCUAUUGACACACUGUAGCAACAAGACAGAAUUCCUCCACAUUAAUACAAGUAACUGAUAGAGUCUUGAAUCGAAAGUUUUCAGAGAAUUUUAUUGGCAAGGGUGGGAAUAUGACUUGGCCACGUUGUGUACAUGAACUUCAUCCCCUUAUAGGAUUCUUUUGGGGGUACAUCAGGAUGUUGUGCAGUGCCAACAGUGGCUUCCACUUUGUUAGAAUUGGCUACAGUCAACCCUGAAUUCCUUGUUGUGAGGACUGACACGAAAUGGAAUACAUCUCACGUGUACACCCAGAAUAUUUUGUUUUUGAAUCUCAUCCUUUACAUGAGUCAUUGAAGUAGCCGCCACCAAAUUACAUACUACGUGGUCACAGCAAAAGUCUACGACAUUGCAACAAUGAACACUGGAGCCCAGGCAAGUAAAGACAGCUGAGAACUCGAUAUGUAGCAAAACUAACAAUGCCGUACUGGUAACUUGGAGCUGUGAGCCAAAGAACAUGAAGUAUUUCCAUGGCUUUGAAGCUUGAAGUUUGGUGAUGGCUACACCAUUUUUCUUUCUGUUUUUGGGUGUAACACGACACAGGGAGACACUUAAAGCAACUUUCAUGCUGAGUCACAUAAGGAAAAAAGUCUAAACAACACUUAAUUUCAAUUUCAGUGACUGGCUAGUACUUGGCUUUCAAAUUCCUUUAUAUGACAAAAAUGCAUGUCAUCAUGCCAGAUGCCAGGCAGCUGACUGCACCGCAUUCAGUUGAAUGCCUGUCAUGUGUAUCGACUAGUUUAUGCACGUGUCCUUACAAAUUCCAUGAAGUUACUGCUUGUGGCUCCAAACCCUCAGAUUAUUAUAAUGUGUUUUCUUGUUAGUUUACAUUAAUCACGCGUUAGGUUGAGUUACAUAAAACCAAGAGCUCAUUAUUAUCAUACUGUUAAUGGACAAGAAACUUACAUAGCUGUAGCCUUCGCCGAUGAAUAUCUCUGGCGCCAUGUACUGACUUGUGCCACACUGCGAAUACGCACGAUCACCCUGAAGAUGGAAACAACAAUUUUAGUAACUGUGACAGGAAUUUGGGGCACAAAACAACUACAAAGUGUCUGGUAACAGAGAAGAAAAUUGAUCAUAUCAAAAAGUGAAGACCACCACUGGACACAGUCCUGAGCGACUUCCAUUCACCUCCUGCCUUCAAAAUAUAUUUCUGUAACAUCCCUCUUAAUGCUAUGCUUCUUAACCUUAAUGGUUUCUGAAGCUGCCAUUUUCCAAGAGACUUACCUAGAAAUAUUUUGCAGCAUUUCUUCUCUACCUACACGUCCAACCUACUGUACGUACAUAAUAUCCUUUAACUGCGACACUACUCAGUAGGCUGUACGUGCCACAAAAUUUAUCAUCAACUAUUAUUUACACUAAGGACCCCAGGGUCCACCAAGGACUGUAGUGUGAAAUAAAGAAGACUUAUAACUUUCGGUA